UUCAUCUCAGCAUAUAUUCUCUAAAUGGUGCGUACAUAUGACUGGUUGAGUGGUUCAUUUUCUCCAUUUUGUGUUAUUUCUUAACGGCCAGCUUCAGUAGUUUAUUGUACUGUAAACAAUUGAAAUGAGUGGAAGCCCCGUUUCUUUUUAUCUCUAGUGGUGAUUAUGUAUCCCAUGUUUGUUCAUAAUCAUUUCUUUCUUUCUUCCUUAUUAUUUUUUACGUGUAUAAUCAUGCUUCUUUGAAAUGUUAGGAAUUGCUUAUCAUUAGUUCAGAACAAGGUACACUAAGAGUGCAUGUUAUUAGACCUUUCAUAUGCCAUUAUUUGUGUUGUCACAAUAAACUCUAUUCCUCAGGGAGAGAGGGAGAUGCAUAAAUUCACCUCCAAACAAUUCCAAUUGAAGUAGAUUAAAAAACUCAAGUACUGCAGUCAAUUUGAGAUCUGUUGGCAUCAACCUCCUGGGCAAGAGCAGUCAAUAUUAGAACAGGUGUGGCAUCGUCCUCUUGGGCCAGAGCUAAUUAUUCAGGCACUGAAUUGAGAGCAUGCUUGCCUGCGUUGUUAACUUGGAUCCUGUCUCUGAUAGACCAUUAUUGAGUCAGAGGCAUGGCCUUUUGUUUUAAUUUUUAAUUUUUGGGAGCAGAUAAGAAAAA